rnacentral:rRNA from 1 species
UGGUACUGCGGAGACAUUACUGAUUUGCUUAAUUGCACCACAUGUGUUUUUUAUUGAACAAAUUUCUUUGGUGGCGGGAGCAAUCCUACCGCCAGAGGUUAUAACUAAACCAAACUUUUUAUUUACAGUCAAACUUGAUUUAUUAUUACAAUAGUCAAAACUUUCAACAACGGAUCUCUUGGUUCUCGCAUCGAUGAAGAACGCAGCGAAAUGCGAUACGUAAUAUGAAUUGCAGAUAUUCGUGAAUCAUCGAAUCUUUGAACGCACAUUGCGCCCUUUGGUAUUCCAAAGGGCAUGCCUGUUUGAGCGUCAUUUCUCCCUCAAACCCCCGGGUUUGGUGUUGAGCAAUACGCUAGGUUUGUUUGAAAGAAUUUAACGUGGAAACUUAUUUUAAGCGACUUAGGUUUAUCCAAAAACGCUUAUUUUGCUAGUGGCCACCACAAUUUAUUUCAUAACUUUGACCUCAAAUCAGGUAGGACUACCCGCUGAACUUAAGCAUAUCAAUAAGCGGGGAGGAA